GGCCACUUUUUACUCUCCCCGAGCCGUGUUCUUGGCAUGACCUUCUGAUGACGCCUUUCCGGACACAGCAAGGGAGCCCCAAAGCCAUCUGAACGCCGUCUCUCACUCACCCUGCUCCCGCAACUUGGGGUGCAGGGGGCCCGAGGGGAAGCCUGUGGGGGCCAGGGGGUCUGAGCCCUUUGUCCCGCACCCCGGAGCCUUGGCUGCUCUGCCAGCGCUGCAGGAAUCGGGGGGAAAUGUGGAGAAGUGACAGUUACAGACGCCAGGCAGCGAUGUAAUUGGCUGCAACUGGAGAGCGGGCUGUCAAACAUCUGCCCUCGAGCCACGGCCUGGAAGCCACUUUCGGCUCAUGAGCUCCACCUGGACUAGCAGCGUGGGGCCCUUCACCAGGACGGAAAGCACACGGGGGUCUGUCACGGAUUCGGGGUUUGGACGCCGGUUACAGGUGAGAAGAGACAGGAGCCGAGAGCCAGGAGGCAGGGAGACCAGCGAGGACGCCUUGAAACACGGCCCAACGCCACGUAGUGGCUUGCGUUGGACCGUCUGUGUUUUCCAAGACAGCUCGGACAAGGAUGGGCUGCGACACGCUUUGUUAUCCGGCAUGCACUGAUGUACCUGGAGACAGGUAGCGGCAGCAAGGGCCCCUGAGCACCCCUUUGCAAGGGAGCUGGGGACCUCGGCAGGGAGCAGACAGAGGGCAUCCACCCCCCCACCAAGGACUGGUGGGGCCGCCUGGGCGAUGCGCAAACCUCCCCUCUCCCGCAGUGUGUGCUCGGGUCUGCCCCUGGCCGCUGCGCAAACUGGCACCGAGGGCUGCUCCUGGCGAGCGCAGGUAUCUGCUGACACAUUCCAGGUGGCCUCUAAGCCAAUGCGGGUAUAACCCAGCUUCCACCACCACCAAGACAGGCCGUGGAAGGCGCUGGCGCCCCCACCCCUCUGUGGCCGUGGGACGGUGUUGCCACCAGAGCCAUCCUGGGUCUAUUUCACGCGCACAGGAGGAGAAAGAGCAUCCCGGGGCCAGGGCGCGGGGCGCGGGCCGGUCCACUCGCCUGGGGUCCCCGUGCGUCUGACUCCGUGCUGGGUGCUGAGGAUUCACGGUGGCGGGCGCUACCGCAGGCUCUGAGCUGGGCAAACGGGUCAGACUUAGACCUUCCAUAGAUGACUCCGGCAGUCGGGGCGUGACGGAGGAUUAAUGCCAAAGGCUCAAAGUUUGGGACCCGGACUCAGACGUGGGUGGGUAUUAGGAACAGAAAAGGGGCAAAGGUCCAAGAAACAUUGAGAAGACGCAACUGGCCAGACUGGGCGCUGAACUCAACGUGGAGUUGGGGGGCCGGGCACGUGUCUCCCAGAUGUGGGUGCUCAUCUCCAGGUAAGAGGAAGCACAGGUGGCCUCGGACAGACCCCACAGGUAGAAGCAACAUCCUCCGAGGCUGCCUCCCUGGGCCCCAGCAGCCUCUCGGCCGCCCCCCAGCUUCCUGCUUACCCCUCCCGGGCAGUCAGGUCAGCCCGGGGCAGGGGGGUGACUCCGGGCUGCCCCAGGGAGAAGGUCAAACCCGGCUAAGUAACUAAAUAAAGAUGUGAUUGCAACGCUGA